rnacentral:rRNA from 1 species
GAUGAACGCUGGCGGCGUGCCUAAUACAUGCAAGUCGAGCGAACAGACGAGGAGCUUGCUCCUUUGACGUUAGCGGCGGACGGGUGAGUAACACGUAGGUAACCUACCUAUAAGACUGGGAUAACUUCGGGAAACCGGAGCUAAUACCGGAUAAUAUUUCGAACCGCAUGGUUCGAUAGUGAAAGAUGGCUUUGCUAUCGCUUAUAGAUGGACCUGCGCCGUAUUAGCUAGUUGGUAAGGUAACGGCUUACCAAGGCAACGAUACGUAGCCGACCUGAGAGGGUGAUCGGCCACACUGGAACUGAGACACGGUCCAGACUCCUACGGGAGGCAGCAGUAGGGAAUCUUCCGCAAUGGGCGAAAGCCUGACGGAGCAACGCCGCGUGAGUGAUGAAGGUCUUCGGAUCGUAAAACCCUGUUAUUAGGGAAGAACAAACGUGUAAGUAACUGUGCACGUCUUGACGGUACCUAAUCAGAAAGCCACGGCUAACUACGUG